UACGGAGGGUGCGAGCGUUGUCCGGAAUCAUUGGGCGUAAAGGGCGCGUAGGUGGCCUGCUAAGCGUGCGGUGAAAGUCGGGGGCUCAACCCCCGAUCGGCCGUGCGAACUGGGAGGCUUGAGCACUGUAGAGGCUCAUGGAAUUCCGGGUGUAGCGGUGGAAUGCGUAGAGAUCCGGAAGAACACCGGUGGCGAAGGCGGUGAGCUGGGCAGUUGCUGACACUGAGGCGCGACAGCGUGGGGAGCAAACAGG
rnacentral:rRNA from 1 species